rnacentral:rRNA from 1 species
CUAUGCGCCUUGCCAGCCCGCUCAGUGUGCCAGCCGCCGCGGUAAUACGUAGGUGGCAAGCGUUGUCCGGAAUUACUGGGUGUAAAGGGAGCGCAGGCGGGAAGCCAAGUCAGCUGUGAAAACUACGGGCUUAACUUGUAGACUGCAGUUGAAACUGGUUUUCUUGAGUGAAGUAGAGGUUGGCGGAAUUCCGAGUGUAGCGGUGAAAUGCGUAGAUAUUCGGAGGAACACUCGUGGCGAAGGCGGGUUCCUGGACAUUAACUGACGCUGAGCACGAAGGCCAGGGGAGCGAAAGGG